rnacentral:rRNA from 1 species
GUGAGGAAUAUUGCGCAAUGGGGGAAACCCUGACGCAGCAACGCCGCGUGGGUGAAGAAGGCCUUCGGGUCGUAAAGCCCUUUCGGACGGGACGAACGCUUCGCGGGGACAAUCCGCGAAGCCUGACGGUACCGUAAGAAGAAGCACCGGCUAACUCCGUGCCAGCAGCCGCGGUAAUACGGAGGGUGCGAGCGUUGUUCGGAAUUACUGGGCGUAAAGCGCGUGUAGGCGGCCCUGUAAGUCAGAUGUGAAAGCCCUCGGCUUAACCGGGGAAGUGCAUCUGAAACUGCUUGGCUUGAGUACGGGAGAGGGAGGCGGAAUUCCCAGUGUAGAGGUGAAAUUCGUAGAUAUUGGGAGGAACACCGGUGGCGAAAGCGGCCUCCUGGACCGAUACUGACGCUGAGACGCGAAAGCGUGGGGAGCAAACAGGAUUAGAAACCCCGGUAGUCC